UAAUAUCGCAGGUAGAAAUACGCUGUACACUCGUGCAAUCGAAUUAACGUUUAAGCGGCAUAAUCUGUCGCCGACCACGAG
rnacentral:ncRNA from 1 species